rnacentral:rRNA from 1 species
AUUGAACGCUGGCGGCAGGCCUAACACAUGCAAGUCGAGCGGAGCGGCGGACGGGUGAGUAAUGCCUAGGAAUCUGCCUGGUAGUGGGGGAUAACGUCCGGAAACGGGCGCUAAUACCGCAUCCUAUCAGAUGAGCCUAGGUCGGAUUGGCUAGUUGGUGGGGUAAAGGCCUACCAAGGCGACGAUCCGUAACUGGUCUGAGAGGAUGAUCAGUCAAACUGGAACAGAGAAACGGGCCAAAGGCCUACGUGAGGAAGGAGGGGGGAAUAGUGGAAAAUGGGCGAAAGCCUGAUCGAGCCAUGCCGCGUGUGUGAAGAAGGUCUUCGGAUUGUAAAGCACUUUAAGUUGGGAGGCGUUACCAACAGAAUAAGCACCGGCUAACUUCGUGCCAGCCGCCGCGGUAAUAC